rnacentral:rRNA from 1 species
UUGAACGCUGGCGGCAGGCCUAACACAUGCAAGUCGAACGGUAACAGGAAGCAGCUUGCUGUUUUGCUGACGAGUGGCGGACGGGUGAGUAAUGUCUGGGAAACUGCCUGAUGGAGGGGGAUAACUACUGGAAACGGUAGCUAAUACCGCAUAACGUCGCAAGACCAAAGAGGGGGACCUUAGGGCCUCUUGCCAUCGGAUGUGCCCAGAUGGGAUUAGCUAGUAGGUGGGGUAACGGCUCACCUAGGCGACGAUCCCUAGCUGGUCUGAGAGGAUGACCAGCCACACUGGAACUGAGACACGGUCCAGACUCCUACGGGAGGCAGCAGUGGGGAAUAUUGCACAAUGGGCGCAAGCCUGAUGCAGCCAUGCCGCGUGUAUGAAGAAGGCCUUCGGGUUGUAAAGUACUUUCAGCGGGGAGGAAGGGAGUAAAGUUAAUACCUUUGCUCAUUGACGUUACCCGCAGAAGAAGCACCGGCUAACUCCGUGCCAGCAGCCGCGGUAAUACGGAGGGUGCAAGCGUUAAUCGGAAUUACUGGGCGUAAAGCGCACGCAGGCGGUUUGUUAAGUCAGAUGUGAAAUCCCCGGGCUCAACCUGGGAACUGCAUCUGAUACUGGCAAGCUUGAGUCUCGUAGAGGGGGGUAGAAUUCCAGGUGUAGCGGUGAAAUGCGUAGAGAUCUGGAGGAAUACCGGUGGCGAAGGCGGCCCCCUGGACGAAGACUGACGCUCAGGUGCGAAAGCGUGGGGAGCAAACAGGAUUAGAUACCCUGGUAGUCCACGCCGUAAACGAUGUCGACUUGGAGGUUGUGCCCUUGAGGCGUGGCUUCCGGAGCUAACGCGUUAAGUCGACCGCCUGGGGAGUACGGCCGCAAGGUUAAAACUCAAAUGAAUUGACGGGGGCCCGCACAAGCGGUGGAGCAUGUGGUUUAAUUCGAUGCAACGCGAAGAACCUUACCUGGUCUUGACAUCCACGGAAGUUUUCAGAGAUGAGAAUGUGCCUUCGGGAACCGUGAGACAGGUGCUGCAUGGCUGUCGUCAGCUCGUGUUGUGAAAUGUUGGGUUAAGUCCCGCAACGAGCGCAACCCUUAUCCUUUGUUGCCAGCGGUCCGGCCGGGAACUCAAAGGAGACUGCCAGUGAUAAACUGGAGGAAGGUGGGGAUGACGUCAAAUCAUCAUGCCCCUUAUGACCUGGGCUACACACGUGCUACAAUGGCGCAUACAAAGAGAAGCGACCUCGCGAGAGCAAGCGGACCUCAUAAAGUGCGUCGUAGUCCGGAUUGGAGUCUGCAACUCGACUCCAUGAAGUCGGAAUCGCUAGUAAUCGUGGAUCAGAAUGCCACGGUGAAUACGUUCCCGGGCCUUGUACACACCGCCCGUCACACCAUGGGAGUGGGUUGCAAAAGAAGUAGGUAGCUUAACCUUCGGGAGGGCGCUUACCACUUUGUGAUUCAUGACUGGGGUG